AGACUUUGAUUAUGGCUCAGGAUGAACGCUAGCGGCAGGCUUAACACAUGCAAGUCGAGGGGCAGCGCGAGUAGCAAUACUUGGCGGCGACCGGCGCAAGGGUGCGUAACGCGUGAGCAACAUGCCCGUAUCAGGGGGAUAAUCCAGGGAAACUUGGUCUAAUACCCCAUAGUAAUUUUGUAAGGCAUCUUAUGGAAUUUAAAGCUUUGGUGGAUACGGAUUGGCUCGCGUGACAUUAGCCGGAUGGUAAGGUAACGGCUUACCAUGGCUAUGAUGUCUAGGGGUUCUGAGAGGAAGGUCCCCCACACUGGAACUGAGACACGGUCCAGACUCCUACGGGAGGCAGCAGUGAGGAAUAUUGGACAAUGGAUGGAAAUCUGAUCCAGCCAUGCCGCGUGCAGGAAGACGGUCCUAUGGAUUGUAAACUGCCUUUGUAUGGGAGCAAUAAGGCCUUCGUGAAGGCUG
rnacentral:rRNA from 1 species